CCAUGCUCCUCCUUGGCGUCCUUGCUUAGCCGCUACUCCUUGCAGGCUGCAGUGGCAGCAAUUUUUUUUGAAUUUGUUUUCCCUUAAAUGUACUCAUAGCCGUUCCCAUAUGAACGCUUUAUUUUGUGAAAUCGAAAGAGAUGUUUUAGUAAAGCUUCAAAAACUGAUUAUGUGAUGGACAGUGAAACCGUUCAAGAGAAUACUGGCCAUACCAGUUCAGUGAUACCUGAUGAUCAGAUGCCAUUCAUCCUGUGAGAGUUCUCUCAAACCAGGUUGAUAGCAAGGUUGAUAGUCAAAUAGUUGAAGAGAAU